UACGUAGGGGGCAAGCGUUGUCCGGAAUCAUUGGGCGUAAAGCGCGUGUAGGCGGCUUGGUAAGUCUGCUCUGAAAGCCCGGGGCUCAACCCCGGGAGGCGGGUGGAUACUGUCAAGCUCGAGUCCGGAAGAGGAGUGUGGAAUUCCUGGUGUAGCGGUGAAAUGCGCAGAUAUCGGGAGGAACACCAGUGGCGAAGGCGAGUCUCUGGGCUGAUACCGACGCUGAGGCGCGAAAGCCAGGGGAGCAAACGGG
rnacentral:rRNA from 1 species